GAAACAGAAAAAAAAAUCCAGUUCCAAACAAGACCUAACCCUAACAAAGCGUUGUUAAGCCACAAGAACUCAAUUCCCUUGGUUAUUGUUUCACUUCGAUUCCUCAUCUAUCUUCCUCCGCAUCAUCAAAGCCUUUGGCCUCUCCUCGUACACCAAAAAAACAAAAUAUCAAAACCCUAACCUCCAAAUUCUCCGUCUCUUCACAAAAAAGGGGUUUCAAUUCUACCUAAUGAAAAGAUCUGCAUGUAAAGAUCAGAAUCAUCCGACAGGUUCUCCUGAAGGUAUUGUUGUUUGUGUUGUGGCAUAAUCAGAGAGAGAGAGAGAUGGCUAGGGAUAGGGAUUUGUCGAGGUCACCUUCGUACAGAAGGAGGUAUUCCAGAGAAGCCGAAGAGAGGGGUGGUAUUUCUUAUAGCCGGAGAAGCCGAAGAGAUAGAAGCCGAUCUCCGUAUUCUUAUAGCAGACGAAGAAGUCGUUCAAUUUCCCCUCGACGCUGCAAAAGUCCACCAUCUCCAAGGCGACGUAAAAGUCGCUCUCCUACACCAAGGCGUCAUAAGAGACAAAGGACCUCAUUAUCUCCUAUAGCUAAAUCUCACAGUCCUGGUAGCGGGUCAAUAGAGUGCAAAAAUGCCAGUGAAAAUUUGAGAAAAGAAGAAGAGAAGAAACGGUAUAUAAACGCUUUAUGUCCUUUACUGAAUAAUUCUUUUUCACGUUUUCGCUCAUCUUUUUGCUCCGUCUCAGAAGUAUGAUAUGUUUGUUUCCAUCUUUGUUCCUCUAUUGCGUGCUAUGAACUACGUAGGACACACCGUCACACUCUUAUCUGCUUUUUACUAGAAUGUAUACGAAUUUGCCGGGAAUCAACUUCUUGGUGUUCUUGUACAUUUACAAUGUACCCACAUUUUUGUAUCAUUUCUUUGUUUUACAUUUGACAAGAAUGAAUGGAAAAUAAGGGGAAAUCUGCAGAAUCAAUGGCCUUGUGUUGUUAAACACCCACUUUCGUGCAGGAGCCUUGAUGGUGAUCAGGCAAGAAGCUAUUGGCCCAUGUGUAUUUUCUUGUUUGUUUUCAAAGAAAUCUAACACAAAAUCAUGUCAUUGUACAUUGGCGUGCUUGUAGCAUUAUUGUGUUCUUUGCUUUUUGAAUCACAACAAAAAAAGGUUACUGCCGGUGCAUCUGAGGUAAAGUGUAGCAUGGGACGAACUAAACUUCAGAUGAUCUACCAACUGCUCUCUGAAGAUGGGAGCACAUUUUAUGUUCUCUUACUUAGAAAAUAUGGGGCAUUAUAGUCAAACCCAUUGUGUCAUUCCUCAUCACAACAUCUUCUUGGUAGGCUGAAUUGAUUGUGUAGCUCCCCAUUUCCUAACUUUAGAGAGUACCUGUAGCCUCAGUAUUUACCGACUUUUCUCAUAAUCGCUUUGUGAAAUAGCCAUGUUCUGUACCAUAUAAUUUUGGUUAUGGGUUCUUAUGCUCAUGCAAAAAAAAUUGUGUUCACCUUUAUUUGAAAAAUAUGGGACAGAUGAAUCCAAGUCCUUUUAGGCUCCUUAUCUGGCAAUGCAUUUUCAUGAAAUGCUAUUAUUUUUCCGUUCUUGGAAACACUCGACCUUGCUGAAGUUUGGUGGAAAAGUACAGAAUUAGAUUUGUUGAUUUGGUUGUGUCUGCAUAAUCAGUUAUGUAAUUCAGAAUUGUAAGCUUGUGGAAAUAUGCAGAAGGUGCUCUGACAUUUUCAAAUGCAUUUUCGUCGUCAUCAGUGAGGGGGGAAAUUAUUUUUACAUUGUGUUAUUUGAAUUAUCUCAUUGUUCACUCUCUAGGAAGUUGAGUUGACAUGAUAUUCGUUAGCCUGGAACAUCACAGGGUUGAAAGAACUGAGUUCGGUUCUGGGUUUGGGGUAGGUUUGUCUCUGGGUGUCAGGGAGCCUUUGGCUGUUACUGUCGAACUCUAAUCCCCCUUUUGGUUUGGUACAUGGCGUGGAAAGUAGCAAGGGAAAGGAGGAGAUGGAUUUAGCAUCUCUAGCCAAUGUAUGUUUGGGUUCCCAGUUCCCACAAAGUUGUUUGGUUGAGUGAAGGAAGGGAGUGGGUUAACAUUGCUUUUUACAAAUAUUCUCUUAUGUUCUGUAGAAAACUUGACCAACAAUUGAGGGACAAGAGAGAGCCCUCCUAUCUUCUGUCAAUGGAUUAGGAGGAUUGUAUUUUUGGGCUGGGAGGAUUUCUUUCCCUGUCCUCUCUCUUAUACCUGUCAUCCCUCCCACCAAACAAGCAAACAUGCUUCUUUUCUUUCCGGCUUUCCUCUUUCCAUUACCCAUCAAGAUUCUUAUUGGUAGUUAUCCAAACAAUUUAUAUUUCUGGUCUUCUUUGUAAAUAGUACUAAACAAUGGAAUCACUGUCUUUGGUCUACCUCACUGACGGCUGAACCAGGCACAAUUACGUAUAUUAACUAGAGUUUGGCUUUGACACAAAUGUGAUGCAAGGAUGAAAGUGUUAUGGUGAUUAGUUUUAAAACUGCAAAUCAUUACUUGACAUUCUUCUCCACAGGCUUUUUUGAAGGAAGAUACUGCUAUAGAUCAACUUGUUAAAUUUGAUGAUCAAUUGGAUGCCUCGUUUAUCUACUAUUCACCAGUUUUGAACUCAUUUGUUUGGAUCAGGAAUCAGUUAGAGGUAUGCCUUAAAAGCAUGAACUUGUUUUUUGUGCCUUUGUCGUCAUGAAGGUUAGUUUGCCAUUCAGUAUGCAAAGUAAAAGUGGGGUGGUAACUGGAAGUUUACAAUGUAAAAUGCCACUCCCAUUUCGCUGCUAAUCCGGCUUCAAAGACAUUUCUGGAAUAAAAAAAUGAUGUGCUUCCCUUCCUAUCGUGGCCAUUUUCUGCUUAACUUUCUUCUUGUUCUAUCAGGCGUCAACAGGAGGCAGAAUUGGAGCUGAUAGAGGAAGAAACAGCAAAAAGAGUGGAAGAAGCAAUUAGGAAGAAAGUCGAGGAGAGCUUGAACUCAGAGGAGAUCAAGCUGGAGUUACAGAGGCGAUUGGAGGAAGGUAGGAGGAAGCUUCUUGAUGUGGUUGCUGUUCAACUUGAGAAAGAGAAGGAAUCUGCUGUUAUUGAGGCGAGAAAAAGAGAGGCAAGUAUCCAUUAUAAAAUUAAAAAAGUCCCUGUACAGAUCACUUUCUUUUCCAUAUUUCAAGCUUGUUGAAGUUUUCUUGAGUUACUCCUAUCUCCUGUUUUCUUGGUAGCCUAACAGUUUACCUGCGGUACACUUGAUUGAAUCAGGACAAGGGUUUGCCUGUCACUGGUUGCAAACACAUUAAUUUGCAUAUGGAAAAUGGAAUGCGAAUGCCCUGAGAUGUGGCCCCCUUUGGAAUCCUAACCUUUUAUAUGCCCAUCCUAUCAGAAUCGUGAUUCUCUGCCUAGUUGUUGUGGUUUGCUUUUGGCCAGUCACUGCUUGUUAAAGGAAUGAGAAUGAGCACCCCAGGGGCUAUUUGUCUCUUAUCAUGGAGGAUAUUCUGAGAUUGCUUUAACAUCUUGGUGAAACUUCCUAGAUUAUCUUGUUAUAAUUUGGAAGAACCUAUUUAAAGGUCUCUAUAGAUGGGGCUUUAAAAUCCACUAGAUGCAUGCAUUGCUAAACGUUAGGUUUGUCCCCAGUUCUCCCCAGCCCAUUCCCCCAGCGAUUAGGGAUUACAUGGGUAUUGUUAAUUGUUAUAGAAUGUUGGUGUGGAUGCUGUUUCUUCCCCUAAGGGCAGAUUCCUAAGGUUUUUGUUUGGUGUUCUUGAUUGUCCUCCACUUCUGCUUAUCGUCUGUGCAAAUAAUGCUUUUGAACUAACAUGAGAAAGAUAAUUCAAUUUUCUGUUGUCAUACAGGAACGGGCUAAAAAAGACAAAGAAGGGCUGGAGAGGAUGAUUGAAGAGAACAGGAGGAAGAUGGAAGAAGCUCAAAGAAGGGAAGCUUUAGAACAGCAAAGGAGGGAGGAGGAACGAUACAGAGAACUGGAAGAGCGUCAAAAACAGAAAGAAGAGGCCAUGCGAAGGAAGAAGCAGCAAGAGGAAGAAGAGCGCGCAAACCAGAUCAAACUGUUGGGCAAGAACAAAGCCCGGCCAAAAGUCUCAUUUGCAAUCGGUUCGAAAUAGUUGAUGACUGGGAUUUAAAUGUGUGUCAGUUACAUUUGUCAGUUAGUGCUAGUUGAAGCAAGAUAUAUAUGCUGGCUGCUGUAGUGUUUUGGUCCCUCAAUAUUUCCAGUGUAAGUUUUAGUGUAACAUGAAUUUAUUUUUUUUGAAGAAGUGUAACAUGAAUUUGAGACCUUGUUUUUGGUAUCGGUUGCAUCCCAGUAUAUUUUGGUUCAUCUUU